rnacentral:rRNA from 1 species
GAUUGUAGGCUGAAACUCGCCUACAUGAAGCUGGAGUUACUAGUAAUCGCAGAUCAGAAUGCUGCGGUGAAUGCGUUCCCGGGUCUUGUACACACCGCCCGUCACACCACGGAAGUUGGGGGCGCCCGAAGCCACUUAGCUAACCCUUUUGGGAAGCGAGUGUCGAAGGUGAAAUCAAUAACUGGGGUGAAGUCGUAACAAGGUACC